rnacentral:rRNA from 1 species
UCUGGUGACCAUAGCAUAGCGGAACCACCCGGCUCCAUUCCGAACCCGGAAGUGAAACGCUAUUGCGCCGAUGGUAGUGUGGCGAAAGGCCAUGUGAGAGUAGGUCGUUGCCAGUU